CACCAGCAGAGGUUGUUCCCAUUUGCAGCUGAAGAGCAUCCUCUUGACCAUGAGUCCAUGGAGACGUGAGCCCCAGCAGCACUUUUUCUCCGGCUCCUAUUAAAACAAGAAGUACCUGCGGAUACAUCUGCUUUUCCCACCGGAGCACAGGCCCUGAUGUUUGCAGUGCUCCAGGCAAAAGAACAAAUGGAAGCCCAUAUCACGGAAUCUAAAUAUUUAAAAAUCAUAAAUCAAGCUACAAACUGCUAAUAAAAUAUGUUCUAGCCUCCUACUCAACAAAUAAACUUUCAUAACAAUAAAAAAAAUCUGUAAAUCUG